GACCCCUCUGGUGGCCUAGUGGUUAGAGCAUCUACCUCAAAUGCAGGAGGUCAUGGGUUUGAUCACUGACUGAGUCA